rnacentral:rRNA from 1 species
UCUGGCUCAGGACGAACGCUGGCGGCGUGCCUAAUACAUGCAAGUCGAGCGGACAGAUGGGAGCUUGCUCCUGAUGUUAGCGGCGGACGGGUGAGUAACACGUGGGUAACCUGCCUGUAAGACUGGGAUAACUCCGGGAAACCGGGGCUAAUACCGGAUGGUUGUUUGAACCGCAUGGUUCAGACAUAAAAGGUGGCUUCGGCUACCACUUACAGAUGGACCCGCGGCGCAUUAGCUAGUUGGUGAGGUAACGGCUCACCAAGGCRACGAUGCGUAGCCGACCUGAGAGGGUGAUCGGCCACACUGGGACUGAGACACGGCCCAGACUCCUACGGGAGGCAGCAGUAGGGAAUCUUCCGCAAUGGACGAAAGUCUGACGGAGCAACGCCGCGUGAGUGAUGAAGGUUUUCGGAUCGUAAAGCUCUGUUGUUAGGGAAGAACAAGUGCCGUUCAAAUAGGGCGGCACCUUGACGGUACCUAACCAGAAAGCCACGGCUAACUACGUGCCAGCAGCCGCGGUAAUACGUAGGUGGCAAGCGUUGUCCGGAAUUAUUGGGCGUAAAGGGCUCGCAGGCGGUUUCUUAAGUCUGAUGUGAAAGCCCCCGGCUCAACCGGGGAGGGUCAUUGGAAACUGGGGAACUUGAGUGCAGAAGAGGAGAGUGGAAUUCCACGUGUAGCGGUGAAAUGCGUAGAGAUGUGGAGGAACACCAGUGGCGAAGGCGACUCUCUGGUCUGUAACUGACGCUGAGGAGCGAAAGCGUGGGGAGCGAACAGGAUUAGAUACCCUGGUAGUCCACGCCGUAAACGAUGAGUGAAGUGUUAGGGGGUUUCCGCCCCUUAGUGCUGCAGCUAACGCAUUAAGGCA